AGUGGAAUUGCUGGGUCAAAUGGUAGUUCUAUGUUUAACUUUUUGAGGAAUUUCCAAACUCUUUUCCAAAGUGGCUGCACUAUUUUACAUUCCCAUCAGCAAU
rnacentral:pre_miRNA from 1 species